GAAUCUUGCUGGAGAUCCUGGCUUACCUGUGGCCUUCCCAAGGUAAUCUGCUUUUGUUCCUUUGUUUCUGCAUUCAAGGCUGCUGCAUUUGGGUUGGCCUCAUUUGAUACAGGCGUAGACUAUGCCGCCCUGCUGUUAUCACUGGACUUGCCAUCACAUCAUAGUAUUACAGUAUAUAAGCUAAUGUCCUAUAGAAAUAGGUAUGGGUUUCUUUUUGACUUAAGACAGAAUGAAUUGUAAACAACAUCUCGAAUAAUUCUGAGAAGUUCAAAAGGAAAGGCGUAAACAUGUGAUGGCAGAAUAACAUACAUUUAUUGGUUUUAUAAUUUUUUUUAAUGCUAAGAGGCUAUGUUAAGGGGCCGUUGUUCCCCACUGCCGCCGUUCCCCGCCGUUUCCCCGGCACUCGCCGCUCGCCACUGUCCGCUGUCGUCCCCUGUCGUCCCCCAUCAUCCCCCGCCGCUCGUUGCCGUUCCCCGUCGUUCCCCGCUCGCCGCCAUCCCUGCUCGUCCCCCGUCGUUCCCCGCUCGCCGCCAUCCCCCGUCGUCCGCCGUCGUUCCCCGCCGCCGUUCCCCGUUGUCCCCCGUUGUUCCCUGCCGCUUGC
rnacentral:lncRNA from 1 species